AGAGUUUGAUCCUGGCUCAGGACGAACGCUGGCGGCGUGCUUAACACAUGCAAGUCGAACGAGGCACUUGUGCCUAGUGGCGAACGGGUGAGUAACACGUGAGCAACCUGCCCCUGGCUCUGGGAUAGCCUCCGGAAACGGGGAUUAAUACCGGACAUGACCUGUUACCGCAUGGUUUCGGGUGGAAAGUUUUUCGGCCA
rnacentral:rRNA from 1 species